GACGAACGCUGGCGGCGUGCUUAACACAUGCAAGUCGAACGGAAAGGCCCUGCUUUUGUGGGGUGCUCGAGUGGCGAACGGGUGAGUAACACGUGAGUAACCUGCCCUUGACUUUGGGAUAACUUCAGGAAACUGGGGCUAAUACCGGAUAGGAGCUCCUGCUGCAUGGUGGGGGUUGGAAAGUUUCGGCGGUUGGGGAUGGACUCGCGGCUUAUCAGCUUGUUGGUGGGGUAGUGGCUUACCAAGGCUUUGACGGGUAGCCGGCCUGAGAGGGUGACCGGCCACAUUGGGACUGAGAUACGGCCCAGACUCCUACGGGAGGCAGCAGUGGGGAAUAUUGCACAAUGGGCGGAAGCCUGAUGCAGCAACGCCGCGUGCGGGAUGACGGCCUUCGGGUUGUAAACCGCUUUCGCCUGUGACGAAGCGUGAGUGACGGUAAUGGGUAAAGAAGCACCGGCUAACUACGUGCCAGCAGCCGCGGUGAUACGUAGGGUGCGAGCGUUGUCCGGAUUUAUUGGGCGUAAAGGGCUCGUAGGUGGUUGAUCGCGUCGGAAGUGUAAUCUUGGGGCUUAACCCUGAGCGUGCUUUCGAUACGGGUUGACUUGAGGAAGGUAGGGGAGAAUGGAAUUUCUGGUGGAGCGGUGGAAUGCGCAGAUAUCAGGAGGAACACCAGUGGCGAAGGCGGUUCUCUGGGCCUUUCCUGACGCUGAGGAGCGAAAGCGUGGGGAGCGAACAGGCUUAGAUACCCUGGUAGUCCACGCUGUAAACGGUGGGUACUAGGUGUGGGGUCCAUUCCACGGGUUCCGUGCCGUAGCUAACGCUUUAAGUACCCCGCCUGGGGAGUACGGCCGCAAGGCUAAAACUCAAAGGAAUUGACGGGGCCCCGCACGAGCGGCGGAGCAUGCGGAUUAAUUCGAUGCAACGCGUAGAACCUUACCUGGGUUUGACAUGGAUCGGGAGUGCUCAGAGAUGGGUGUGCCUCUUUUGGGGUCGGUUCACAGGUGGUGCAUGGCUGUCGUCAGCUCGUGUCGUGAGAUGUUGGGUUAAGUCCCGCAACGAGCGCAACCCUUGUUCACUGUUGCCAGCACGUUAUGGUGGGGACUCAGUGGAGACCGCCGGGGUCAACUCGGAGGAAGGUGGGGAUGACGUCAAGUCAUCAUGCCCCUUAUGUCCAGGGCUUCACGCAUGCUACAAUGGCUGGUACAGAGAGUGGCGAGCCUGUGAGGGUGAGCGAAUCUCGGAAAGCCGGUCUCAGUUCGGAUUGGGGUCUGCAACUCGACCUCAUGAAGUCGGAGUCGCUAGUAAUCGCAGAUCAGCAACGCUGCGGUGAAUACGUUCCCGGGGCU
rnacentral:rRNA from 1 species